AGGAAUCAAAGUGGGUUCCCUGGUCUAAAGAUAUGGCCUGAUGCUUGUUUGGCCUUGAGAAUGACACCUUUUUGCCAUUUCUUUCUGUAGGACUUGAAGGGUUUCCAGCCUGUAGAGAUUCCCAGAAUGAAAUACCUGAAUCUAUCCUGAUCAUUACCAAUAAGAACUUGUAGCCAACCUCCUAAAUGAUAGCAAACAUCCAUAACCCACUGAACAAUAAAAAACUGCCCACUCCUUUUGGGAA